rnacentral:rRNA from 1 species
UGGUGGAGUGAUUUGUCUGCUUAAUUGCGAUAACGAACGAGACCUCGGCCCUUAAAUAGCCCGGUCCGCAUUUGCGGCCGCUGGCUUCUUAGGGGACUAUCGGCUCAAGCCGAUGGAAGUGCGCGGCAAUAACA